UUAGCUACUUUAGAUAGUUUUGUAUUCAUGAAAUCAUGGGUACAAACAGCAAAAACCUGUUUUUGUAUCUAUGAUGGCUAAAGCUUUUUGUACUGAACAAACGCCACGUAGACAAUCCUAAGUGGCUAAAAGAAGAAGUGUUUAUCUUACGACUUUUAUCAAUCCAUUUAGGCAUAUUGUCUGAAUGGAUUUUUUGUUUUAUUAA
rnacentral:ncRNA from 1 species